rnacentral:lncRNA from 1 species
ACAAUUAUCCACUUCUCAUUUGCAUUUAGUAAUUCCUCUCUCUUCUUUCUACUGUUCUUCUUCUUCUUUUUAACUUUCUCUCUCUUAGGGUUUUCUGUUUCAAUGGCGGAAGAGGUUCAGAACGGAGGUGCCGAGAACGGAGCAGCAAAGGCUGUGACUGUCACCUUUACGGCGAUGAAGCCUCAGUUGAUUGUGGAGGCACCUAAGGCUGGAGAUGCCGUACAGUUCUACAAGACCGCGUUUGGUGCUGAGGAAGUGAACCGUGUGAAUCAUCCG